UGACCACAUGGCAUCCACAGAGGAAUCAUAUCGUGGGUCAAACCCAUUGGCCUGCUGAUGGAUCUCAUCUGGAGGAGAGUGUGCUGGAUCUCCUGCCUCAUGUGUGCUGCACCAUCAGUCUUACGCUGGAGAAAUGAUGGAGCAGUGACCACGAGGAGAGAGAGAGAGAGAGAUCAGCAACACUUCAAAGCAUGCACAGAAACUCACGCCAUCUGUUAAAGUCACCAGAAAGGUAUGAGAAGUGCAUUAUGAACAUUUUAAUUGAUUGAAAAAUAGAGAAAUAUCCAAAACUAAUUCUGAGAGCAC
rnacentral:lncRNA from 1 species